CCCAUGGCUCAGAUUGAACGCUGGCGGCAGGCCUAACACAUGCAAGUCGAGCGGCAGCACGGGUACUUGUACCUGGUGGCGAGCGGCGGACGGGUGAGUAAUGCCUAGGAAUCUGCCUGGUAGUGGGGGAUAACGCUCGGAAACGGACGCUAAUACCGCAUACGUCCUACGGGAGAAAGCAGGGGACCUUCGGGCCUUGCGCUAUCAGAUGAGCCUAGGUCGGAUUAGCUAGUUGGUGAGGUAAUGGCUCACCAAGGCGACGAUCCGUAACUGGUCUGAGAGGAUGAUCAGUCACACUGGAACUGAGACACGGUCCAGACUCCUACGGGAGGCAGCAGUGGGGAAUAUUGGACAAUGGGCGAAAGCCUGAUCCAGCCAUGCCGCGUGUGUGAAGAAGGUCUUCGGAUUGUAAAGCACUUUAAGUUGGGAGGAAGGGCAUUUACCUAAUACGUAAGUGUUUUGACGUUACCGACAGAAUAAGCACCGGCUAA
rnacentral:rRNA from 1 species